UACGGAGGGGGCUAGCGUUGUUCGGAAUACUGGGCGUAAAGCGCGCGCAGGCGGUUCUUCAAGUCAGUGGUGAAAGCCCGGAGCUCAACUCCGGAACUGCCAUUGAAACUGUGGAACUUGAGGAUGAGAGAGGUGAGUGGAAUUCCCAGUGUAGAGGUGAAAUUCGUAGAUAUUGGGAAGAACACCGGUGGCGAAGGCGGCUCACUGGCUCAUUUCUGACGCUCAGGCGCGACAGCGUGGGGAUCGAAACAGG
rnacentral:rRNA from 1 species